rnacentral:lncRNA from 1 species
CUGUGGGAGCGCCGCUUCCAGGGCCUCAGGCGGCUCCGAGUUUCUCCUGAAAGUUGCGGUUUUGCCGCCUGUACACUCGACAUAUGGCGUUUUCUUCAGUAAUCUACAUCUGAAAUAAAGUAUUUUGUGCGUCGCUUGGGUUUAGAUUAUCCGUGAGCAGGCAUAACAGCAGGCGUGAUGUCAUUGCACCGCUCCCCCUGAGUUUGAGUGCGUUACCCCUUUCUCUCCCACUAUAGUUCGCAGAAUGUUGGCCUCCGUGAUUCCUGAGCUGCUCCAAGCCUUUGGCUUAGCUCGCUCCUGGAGGAGUGGCCUGAUCCUCGCGGUUCCCAGUGAGGCCUUGCAGCGCCCGGUCGGGUGCGAUCCUGCUUCCCCGCCCGGACUCGCUGAAUACAAAGCUUUUGUAUUAAAUACAAGGAAGGUGCUACUCCAGCUCGGGAGUCCUGUGUGGGGUUAUACAAACUUAUUCCAAGCCUUGCAUUCCUGGUCCUAACGGCCACUCGGGGACAACAGGAAGCGGCCACAUACCAAACACGCCUCGCAAGAUUUUCCUUCCUAUUCGAAAAGGGAACUCCUUUUACCACCUAUUCCAGCAUUACUACAAUGAACAUAACACAGAAUGGACACUCAGCAUGGGAAUGAGGAGGAGAAAAGCUGCCAGAGAGCAGAGAGCCUGAACAAGAACCAAGCGGGUGACAUGUGGGUGGUGGCUCACAUGAAGCUCUUCAUUUCCAGAGGCCACACAACUGUCCAGCCUUGCAGACCAGCAGGUAUUGCUGAGGUAGAAAAUGCUGCCCAGCAGCAGUCCCUCGGUGGAAGGAGAGUCACAGCACCUCUUCAACACAUGACCCCUCACACCAGCUCUUCCACCAGGCUCCUGUGGGGACCCCCAGCCCCAUGGGAUGCUCCAUGCUGGCACUUUCUGUGCCAGUCAGGCCAGGAGCUCUCACUCCUGUUCCCCUCAAUGCUGAGCUGCCUGUCCUGCAAUGUCUGUUCUUUCCCACUGACCACAGCAGUGGGAAAAUUAACCACCCCUAUGGGAGAGCUACCAGGCACACUGGGAACAGAUGAUUUACCUUCCAGCUCCUCUGCCAGAGGACUCUCAAAGCAAAGCCACUGCUGCUGGGGAAUCAGCUUCUGCUCCAAAAGCCUGAACAGGUCCCAUAGGAUUUGA